GAAGUCAUCAGAACCGCAAUUCAUUUCCUUUCUUCUAGCUUCAUAGUCGGCCAGCUGCUGCAGAGAAACAACCAAAGACUCUCACCAUUUCUUUCUUCCAAAGCCAUGCAAAUCACUAUCAAACUUCCACCAAAUUCUCUCAAAAUUUAACUACAACUAGCUCAAUACUCGGACAACAACUUAGGCUGGAAAAGGGAGGAGUUUCACGGCUGUCUUCAGGCUUCAUAGGGACCGAAAUUUUCUGAUCUGAACAGCCAUCAAAGUAGGUUUGAACUCGGAGGUAAAAUGGAGAAGCCCUCUUGAUGUACUUUUGUUUAGGGCUUGUUAUUACUUUUGGUUAUGCCUUUGGUUUUGGAAUUGUACUUUUGGUAUGGAAAUGUAACCUUUGGACGAAAUGUAAUCUGUAUUCUGACGUGUGGUUUGGAGAAUGGAUGAUUAUUAUUAAGUUUGAAUACUUCCGCAUUUAUUGUAUUUAAGUUAUUGGCUUG